UACGUAGGAGGCGAGCGUUGUCCGGAAUCACUGGGUGUAAAGCGCGUGUAGGCGGCCUGCCAAGUCUGCUGUGAAAGCGCCUGGCUUAACCGGGCGAGGUCGGUGGAAACUGGCGGGCUGGAGGACGGUAGAGGGGGGUGGAAUUCCCGGUGUAGUGGUGAAAUGCGUAGAGAUCGGGAGGAACCCCGGUGGCGAAGGCGGCUACCUGGACAGAUACUGACGCUGAGGCGCGAGAGCGUGGGGAGCAAACAGG
rnacentral:rRNA from 1 species